rnacentral:rRNA from 1 species
GCAUAUCAAUAAGCGGAGGAAAAGAAACCAACCGGGAUUGCCUUAGUAACGGCGAGUGAAGCGGCAAAAGCUCAAAUUUGAAAUCUGGCGUCUUCGACGUCCGAGUUGUAAUUUGAAGAAGGCAACUUUGUAGCUGGUCCUUGUCUAUGUUCCUUGGAACAGGACGUCAUAGAGGGUGAGAAUCCCGUGUGGCGAGGAUCCCAGUUAUUUGUAAAGUGCUUUCGACGAGUCGAGUUGUUUGGGAAUGCAGCUCUAAGUGGGUGGUAAAUUCCAUCUAAAGCUAAAUAUUGGCGAGAGACCGAUAGCGAACAAGUACAGUGAUGGAAAGAUGAAAAGAACUUUGAAAAGAGAGUGAAAAAGUACGUGAAAUUGUUGAAAGGGAAGGGCAUUUGAUCAGACAUGGCGUUUGCUUCGGCUUUCGCUGGGCCAGCAUCAGUUUUAGCGGUUGGAUAAAUCCUCGGGAAUGUGGCUCUGCUUCGGUAGAGUGUUAUAGCCCGUGGGAAUACAGCCAGCUGGGACUGAGGAUUGCGACUUUUGUCAAGGAUGCUGGCGUAAUGGUUAAAUGCCGCCCGUCUUGAAACACGGACC